CUCAGCUGGGAGAGCGCGUGCUUUGCAAGCAUGAGGUCGUCGGUUCGAUCCCGUCUGGCUCCACCAGAUGGUUUGAUCACCUGCGACUGACCGUCGUCCGCGAAACAUCACUUCGCAUUCACUAGUCUGGAUAGACAGUGAACUGCGUGUUUUCUGACAUCGUAAAGAGGAGAUCGAUCCGAGUUGGGUCGUGCAGCAGAUUGUUGCGCGGAUCCUUCAUUAUCUCCGGAUCAUUUUCGGCGCUCGCUUUCAGCCGUGAGGCUGAACGCGAGUUGUAAAAUGAUCCUUUUAGCGAAGCUUGACCGCCUCGCUAUCGGAACGAUCUUACGAAGCAAGCUGGUCUUUCUAGUCAAUGUCCGGCUGUGAGAAUAGCGCUCGUCGAGGGCGCGUGCCGCAAGGCGGUUCUUACAGGCAGCAUUCUGCCGAGUGUGUGGACAUUGAUAAUGAGAGCAAUCAAGUGCCUUAAGGGUGUUCGGUGGAUGCCUUGGCGCUGAGAGGCGAUGAAGGACGUGCUACGCUGCGAUAAGCCGUGGGGAGCUGCGAAGAAGCUUUGAUCCGCGGAUUUCCGAAUGGG
rnacentral:misc_RNA from 1 species